UACGUAGGGUGCGAGCGUUGUCCGGAAUUAUUGGGCGUAAAAGGGCUCGUAGGCGGUUUGUCGCGUCGGGAGUGAAAUCCACUGGCUUAACUGGUGGCUUGCUUUCGAUACGGGCAGACUGGAGGUAUGCAGGGGAGAACGAAUUCCUGGUGUAGCGGUGAAAUGCGCAGAUAUCAGGAGGAACACCGGUGGCGAAGGCGGUUCUCUGGGCAUGUCCUGACGCUGAGGAGCGAAAGUGUGGGGAGCGAACAGG
rnacentral:rRNA from 1 species